rnacentral:misc_RNA from 1 species
AAGUCGUAACAAGGUCUCCGUAGGUGAACCUGCGGAGGGAUCAUUACUGAGUGAGGGCCUUCGGGCUCGACCUCCAACCCUUUGUGAACACAACUUGUUGCUUCGGGGGCGACCCUGCCGUUUCGACGGCGAGCGCCCCCGGAGGCCUUCAAACACUGCAUCUUUGCGUCGGAGUUUAAGUAGAUUAAACAAAA